UGAGGAAUAUUGGACAAUGGGGGAAACCCUGAUCCAGCAAUGCCGCGUGAGUGAAGAAGGCCUUAGGGUUGUAAAGCUCUUUCGCCCGCGAAGAUAAUGACGGUAGCGGGAGAAGAAGCCCCGGCUAACUCCGUGCCAGCAGCCGCGGUAAUACGGAGGGGGCUAGCGUUGUUCGGAAUUACUGGGCGUAAAGCGUACGUAGGCGGAUGCGCAAGUUGGGGGUGAAAUCCCGGGGCUUAACCUCGGAAUUGCCCUCAAAACUGCACGUCUUGAGACCGAGAGAGGUAAGGGGAAUUCCUAGUGUAGAGGUGAAAUUCGUAGAUAUUAGGAAGAACACCAGUGGCGAAGGCGCCUUACUGGCUCGGUACUGACGCUGAGGUACGAAAGCGUGGGGAGCAAACA
rnacentral:rRNA from 1 species